UCCCUGGUGGUCCAGUGGUUAGGACCCUGCACUUCCAAUGCAGGAGGUGUUGGGUUCAGUCCCUGAUCAGGGAA
rnacentral:tRNA from 1 species